rnacentral:rRNA from 1 species
GGACCCGCACAAGCAGUGGAGCAUGUGGUUUAAUUCGACGCAACGCGAAGAACCUUACCAGCGUUUGACAUGAGAAGUGCCGGUUACAGAAUGGUAACCUUCAGUUCGGCUGGCUUCUACACAGGUGCUGCAUGGCUGUCGUCAGCUCGUGUCGUGAGAUGUUGGUUAAGUCCCGCAACGAGCGCAACCCUUAUCGUUAGUUACUAACAGUUCGGCUGAGGACUCUAGCGAAACUGCCGGUGAUAAGCCGGAGGAAGGUGGGGAUGACGUCAAGUCCUCAUGGCCCUUACACGCUGGGCUACACACGUGCUACAAUGGUAACUACAACGGGACGCAAUACCGCGAGGUGGAG